rnacentral:lncRNA from 1 species
GUUCUCGCCUCGGGGUUACCUGGGGAGCUCCGCUGCUCCCUCUACCUGUGACAGGUCCCCUCCUUUCCCCUGGCCCGGCUCGGUUGACGCCCAGCCAUUUAAAGCAACAGUGCAUAAUUCUCGGGUGACCUAAUCUUCAGUGCCCCAGCGCACUUAACUACCAAGGGGGCAAUUUAAAGGGGCGGGACCCCAACCACCACCUCCCUUGCCUUACAGGAAACAUCCAGAAGCCUCAUCUUAAAGAAGAAAUAGUAACUCUCUUAAAAAAAAAAAAAAGAAAGAAAGAAAAAAAAAAAACCUUUUAAAAUCCCUGGUGUCCUCUGGGCGUGGCGAAUUUUUAAGUGCUUCACAACAAGAUUGUGCGCACCCUUGCUUCUGAACACUGACCCGUCAGACUUCCUGUCCAGCAUCCUGUCACUUCCAAGUCCUCCCUGGCUCUACCUGGAGGUUGAGGAAAUGACGGCGUCUGGCUUGGACUUCAAAGCCUUGUAGAAAAGAAACACAGGUUCUUCACAAGCUAGGAUCUAGUUUACAGAACAAAGCCCCUGUUCUGGGUGUUUGUGGGAGAGUCUAGGAGAGGCAACAAGUGAGCGCGUUAGAAACAUCUAUCUUGGAGUCAUACUGUCUUGGCUCAAAUCCUUCCACUAUUUAUGAAGAGCAGAGCACAUUUCUUAACUCUCCUGCCUCUUGGGUAAAAUGAAGGUGGUGAGCACAGUACUUGUGAAUUUGGAGUGAGUUUAGUUCCCAGUAGAUGAGUACAGGGCCUCAUGUUGCACUGUAAUGACUCAUGGGCUGCUCAAACUGAAAAAAAAAAAAGAGCCCCUUUAGUGGGGGUGAGUCCAGACAAGGCUCAAGGGGGAUAAGUUCAAUAGGACUGUACUGCAAAGAGCUUGGAGACUUAAAUGGACCUCCUUAAACAGGAAGCUAGCAGCCUCCUAUUCCCUUGGCCUCCCUUUUCAAUCCUACUCGGGCCCCUCCUUCCAGAGCCCGAUUUAUACAGUAUCACACAUGGUCCCCAAAUGUUGCUCUUUAGUUUCCCUAGUAGUAUGGGGGGUGGGGCUGCCAGUACUCCUGAGCAGGCUGGUUUGCCCCCAAUACUUCAGGGAAAGCAUCUGUCCUUCCCCAAGCACUUGGAGAAUACAGCCUUGUUCGGGCUUGGAAGCUCUGGUGGGAGCAGUAUGGGAAAGUGCCCUGCCUGUGGGGAACCUCCCUCACUGUGGCCUCUAUUUUUAGUGCUUCCCCAGGCUCUAGCUGGAGAAACCGUUUAGUCAUCAGGGUGUUUAUUUUCCGGCUGUUUCCGACGUCGGGAAAAGCAGAAUGUUGAGACUGGAGAGAUUCUGGGCUGCUGUAAAAGACUUCUUAGGAACAGGCCUGGGAACACUGCCUUCAGACCACUGGGUCCCAGCUCAUAGGAAAACAAAACAGGAUGGGCCCGGGACAGCUAAGCCCUCAGGAGUUUUCAACCUGCCUCAACCUUGGAGGCUAUCCAAGCUAGAGAACCCUCUGGCCCAGCUCUAUCUGAGGAUUGUUUCUCAAAACACAACCAAGCCCAGAAGAAAUUCUUUCCCAGAAUCCCCUCCCCAACCUCUCCUAGAUCUGCCUGGUGAGCCUCCCGCCAACCACAGCCCUAGCCAAUCUCAAACCUGAGGCGGGCCUUCCAGAGCUUUGAUUGGUUGGCUGGGCCUUCUAGACCUGGAAUGUUGAGUCCUUAACAAAGGAAUGAGGAAGGAAGGUGAGUCACCUGGGGAAGGUAUUAAAGGACUAGCUAGAAGGAAAAGGAAGGGGGAAGAGCUCCGGGGAGGUGGGGGCCCUGGACGCUAACGUGCUGACGAGACAGCUCACACGAGACCGGACAAGUGGGACAAAAAUCCAGAGUCUGAAAACAUGUUGGAGCAGAAGCGAAGAGGUGACAACGUGAGGUCCUGAUUUCCACAGAGGACCGAAAAGGGCCAAGUUUUUGGAUGAUGCCAGCAAAGACCCUCCAAUCUCUCCCCGCAUCUGCCACUACGCUUGCGAACCGGACCCUCAGCAGGUGGGCGUGUGUAUUCUCAGCGCGAAGGUGGGACGCUGCUUCCACCUUCGCGCCUGUCUCCUCCGGACGCACUGGCUUGCUGGUUUGGGUUCUAAAGGUACUUUUCCUCACCAGCAUCUGAGUUCCUGCGGGGAUGCAGAGCUGGCGUGGAACGCGCUCAGCAAAUGUAUAUGCGCAGCUGUGUGAGUUGGGAUUGUGCAAACUCUAUUGAACACCUUAUUUCGGCAUCGAUAAUCGUGUUAGCCAAGGACAGGGGUCGAGUCUGGGGCCCUACGACUCCGCUUCAGGGCAGAGUUGGGGUGAGGGAUGGAUAGCGGAGUCCGCCGGACGCAAGGCCGGUGUGGCACAGUGGUGCCCUACGCUGAGAGCCAGGGUGCCUCGGACCAGACGCGGGGACGAGAGCAGAGGCCCCUGGAGCUGAGAGGCAGAGGUGCUAGAGUGGGUCCCGAGUCCGUGUACCCCCCACAGGAGCUCCCUGCCCCCGGCUGGGCAGGAUGUGGUGGCAGCUGCAGUUGGGUGGGCAGGAUGUGGGGGUGGGGGCAGACGAGCGCAGCCCGACAGUAGUCUCCCCCAGCUCUUGCCUCCACCCCCUCCGGGUCACGUGCUCUCAGCUUGGGCAUCGACGGACUAUUUCCCAUUUUCCGCGGAAGGACAUCUGAAACCCGUUGUCAUGAACUCAAGUUGUACCACGCCAUUUUCUUGCCCCCAUCUCCAGCCUAGGACAAAAAGUUUGCCCAGCACAAAUUUCUUUAAAGCGAGGAUUAACUCGGAAGAGGCCCCUUUAAAUGCAAAUGACUCGCCUUCUUGCUCCGCUCCUCCCAACCCCCAUCCCAACUUCUCUCCUCGUGCCCAAACUCCAGCAGCUGCUAUUGACGUCAAUCGUGCGUCAGCAUAGCCAGCCCAACCAGACAGCACGUGGGGGGAAGAAGGCGAUCUUAAAGCGACAGUCGCUCAGGGCCUGUUAGGUUGCCGGAGAAAGGAAAAGUCAAGUGGAAUGUUGGAAACAGUUGGAGCAGGAAGAAAUGCAGGGGAGACUUUCAGAAGGACCGCAUAAGGCCAGCGAAGUGGCUCAGGGGAUUAAAGGUGCUGUGCAAGCCCGAGAAUCAGCUCCCCAAAAUUAUCCUUUGACCUUCACAUACAUCAUUUUCUUCCUUCCCCAAACGUACAGUACUAAUAAAUCUGUUUUAAAAAGACUUCUCAGAAUAGGUCUCAGCUACUGCCCCUGCACCAUGCCUUCCUGCUGCCACAUUCUCUGCCAUGAUAAUAAUAGUCUCGCCAUCCGGAACUGUAAGCAAGCCCCCAAUUAAAUGCUUUCUUCUAUAAGUUGCCUUGGUCAUGGUGUUUCAUCACAGCAA